UAAAUGCGGAAGAGAUAAGUGCUGAAAGCAUCUAAGCACGAAACUUGCCCCGAGAUGAGUUCUCCCUGAGACUUUAAGUCUCCUGAAGGAACGUUGAAGACGACGACGUUGAUAGGCCGGGUGUGUAAGCGCAGUGAUGCGUUGAGCUAACCGGUACUAAUGAACCGUGAGGCUUAACCUU
rnacentral:rRNA from 1 species